UCUAAUGUGGCAGAAUUAUGCAAUGAAUUUAAAAUUCACAUAUAAAUAAAUUUAUUUCUUUAGAA
rnacentral:tRNA from 1 species